AACAGUGGUGACAGCCUGAUCCGAAGGCACUUAGAAGUUGCUGGGAGGUUAUUCCCUUGGGAAAACUGUUGAUUGGAAAAAAUAUUGAAGAUGUAUGGCAUGUUUGAGUCACAAGGAAAGAGGAAGCAGGGAGGGCAGAAGGAUGAAUAAGGCCACUGCUCCAAGCACAUGAAGCAGCCCCUGAAGGGUGGGCAGUAGGGAAAGAGCCAGGGCGAAGCCUGCUCUGAAUUCUUGCCCAGAGCAUUCUAGGAGACACACUGCUUUAGAGCAAUAGAAGACCAGGGUGAUGUGAAAAAGAGACACUUCUCAAGCCUGGAGAUGAGACCUGGGUUACAGGAACUAGUGACAGGGGAGGAGAUGCAAACUGAGGCUCUGCUCGCACACUCCAUCCAUGUGGUAUAGCUUGUCUGCUUCCAAAUUAUCAGCCUGGCAAACUCAUGGUACCAAGUGAGGACAAAUGUCAUAGUCCUCCUGGGAAAUGGGCAACAGUGGAUUUUGCUAAUAACGUGGAAAGUAAUUUUUAAGUGAUAUUUGGAUUAAAAUUGUGAUUUUUAAAACAUUA